UAUGAAAUCAGAUGUGGUAAAUAACCCAAGUUACAACCUUGUUGCAGACAAGAGAACCACUUUAGUUCUUGGGAUGUUAUCUGAAGUUGUGGUAGUUUGCCCAUAAAACUCUUAUCACUUGUUAAGUUCUCAUGCCAGAUGAUGAGUCUGAUCUCUGCUAAACUGAAAAAUUUUAUAUUGUUAGAUACAAUUGAAGUAUAGAAAAUUUUGAUUUUCAACCUGUCAGUAACUCAGUGACAAUUUGUGACGGACAAUACCACAGCUGUUUUUACAAAGGUAUUCUACAUUGUCACAGCAGUGCUCAGUCAGGACAGACUGGAGAACUCGUCUAGUGAGGCUUUAUGAGUAGAGCUGAGGAAAAAGAAAGGCAUGACCACAUUGUAAAACACUCAACAGUCCAUGGGAUUUAGAGGAGCAAAUUUGUAGAGAGGUUGCAGACAGUUGCAAGAAACAUAUGGUUGUGAAGUAGGUGAUUUCAACUUUCCACAUAUUUUCUGUGACUCUCAUACUGUAAAAUGGCUGGAUGGGAAAGUGUUUGACAAAUGCUUUCAAGAAAGUUUCCUUAAUCAGCACAUUGAAGUCCUUGCCAGAGAGAGUUUGAUACUAGAUCUUCUAUUAGGAAAUGGGACAGAGGAACACUUUGCAUUUAGCGAUCUUAAUGACUUUAGCUUCAAGGCCAAUUUUGAUGUUAUCUGAAAGAAUCUGUCCAAUGUGUAUUGGGACAGGUUGUUUUCUGGCAAAAAUAUACUUGGUAAGAGUGAGGUCUUUAAAAGUGACGUUUUGAAAGUGCAGAGUUUGAAUGUUUUUGUCAGAAUAAAAGGUAAGGAUAACAAGUUUAGGUAACCUUGGUUUUCCAGAGAUAACAAGGUCCUAUUUUAGAAAUAAGAUAAUGCAUUGCAGAUACUGUAUAGGCAGGUAGGAACAAAUGAGGUGCCUGAGUACAAGAAAUGCAAGAGAACCCUUAAGAAGGAAAUCAGGAGGGCUAAAAUAAGACAUGAGAUUGCUCUAGUAGACAAGCUAAAGGACAGUCCCAAGGGCUUCUACAGAUUUAUUAAGGAUAGCAAGGGUCAAAAUUAGUCCUCUGGAAGAUCAGAGUGGUAAUCUAUGUGUAGCGUCAAAAGAGAUGGGAGAGAACUCAAAAUGGAAUUUUCAUCUCUGUAUUUACUUGGAAAAUGUACACAAAAUCUAUAGUUGUGAGGCAAUAGAGCAGCAAGGUCAUGGAUCCUAUGCAGAUUACAGAGGAGGAGGUGUUUUCAGGGUGGAUGAAUUCACAGGGCCUGACAAAGUGUUCGUUUGGACCCUGUGGGAGGUUAGUGGAGAAAUUGCGAGGGCUCUUUCAGAGAUAUUUAAAACAUUCUUAGCCCUGAGUAAGGUACCAGAUGAUUGGAGGAGAGCUAAUGUUGUUCAGCUUUUAAGAAAGUCUCUAAGAAUAAGGAAGGAAAAUAUUGGCUGGUGAGCCUGACAUUAGUAAUGGGAAAGUUAUUGGAAGUUAUUAUAAGUGACCGGAUAUAUAAGUACUUGGAUAGCCAGGGACUGGUUAGGGAUAGUUAACAUGAUUUUAUGUGUGGUAAUUUAUGUGUACCCAAUUUUGUAGAGUAUGUUGAGCAAGUUGCCAGGAAAGUUGAUGAUAACAAGGCGGUGGAUGGUGUCUUCAAGGCCAUUGACAAGGUCUUACAUGGGAGGCUGGCCAAGAAGAUUCAGUCACUUGGCACGCAAGAUGAGGUGGCAUUUCUUGCUUGAGGCACUCUCUGAAAAAGUUGAGGAUUGCACUGUACAUAUGCCGUUUGCUUUUUUCAUCUGUAAUAAAGUGGCCUUCAUCUGGGUAAAUCUGUCUCGCAAGUAAAGGAGUAUUGGGUACCUGCACUUCUGCACCGAGAUGUAACACUGAGCAUCAUAGGAAGUCAUUCCUACCUGUGGCCAUCAAACUAUACAACUCCUCCCUUGGAGUGUCAGACACCCUGAGCCAAUAGGCUGGUCCUGGACUUAUUUCCACUUGGCAUGAUUAACUUAUAAUAUUUAUGGUUUUAUAUUGCUAUAUUUCUUCACGAUUCUUGGUUGGUGCGGCUGUAACGAAACCCAAUUUCCCCUCGGGAUCAAUAAAGUAUAUCUGUCUUUCUGUAAUGGAAAUGAUGAAUUUCACUGUUGGUUUCGAUGUGCUUGUAAUAGAUAAAUCUGAAUCUGAAACCUUGUUCAUGGUUUGUUUUUUGCCUCUAAGCUUGAAGCUUGACUAGUAUGUCAAGCUUAGUAUCAAUAAGGUAUGUCUGUCUGUUCUAGUUACUUCGUCAAUAAUGAUAUAACCAAAUACUGAGUGAGUUAGGAUAAAAGCAAUGGACCAACUUCGCAGGACUUACAGUAAUCCAGUUACCUUGCCCCAUGUUAAUCAAUACACCAUGGUACAGUUAUUGUGGUAUUUAUAAUUUAUUCUCCACUGUUGUCAUGCUUAAUAUCUUACUGAAUAGUUGCAGAAUGGAGUUUGAUUUUAGUUGCUCUCCUUGAUGCAUGAUGAAUACAACAAUAAAAAUAUCAACAAAGUGGAGAGAAAUUCAUUGGAACCAACCUUUAAAAUUCUAACAUCUCUGACCCAUUACUUAAAUUGAAAAUUAAGUUCAAAGGUAACGUCAAUGCUAUUGAGUUGUCAGCUGAAGUGGCAUGGCAAGGAAAGCAGAGGGCAAUAUAACUUGAUUUGAUUUGACUGAUGAGUGUCCCACUGAGAAAUUUGGUUUAAUUUCAAUGAAUAACCUCAGAUCGAAUUUAGAGUGAACUGUUAAAUAUAUCAUCAAAUGUAAUGCCAGCUCAACAAUUACUGACAAAGAGGAAGAUGACAAAUGUCUGGCAUCAGAUUUUCUCAUGAACGUUCAGCUUUUUCUAGAAGUAGAAGCAAUGAUACAUUGAUUCCUAAAUUCAUAGUAUGACAAACUCUACCUUGCAUAUAUCUAUAUCAUCACCUCAAUCACUUGUUCAAAAAAAUAUCUGAACAAAAAUGUUUGUUCAAAAAUGCCCAAUAAACUCCACAUUAUCUAAGUUCCUUUUUGUCCAUUUAACUUAAUACGUUCCCUUGUAUAUGUCCUGUUCAAAGCUGAAUUAAAUAUUUAGUGGCGAACAAAGAGAUUAAAGCACAAUGUUUCAUUAAAAAGUGAUCACUGUGAAUUAUUUUUCUGUACAUUAUCUUUUUGGGUAACUAGACUUUACAAUUAGAGCAUCUGAUGUUCAGAAAGGGAAGGGGUCAGGAUUCCUCCUGUAUUUUGUGUGUGUUGCUCUGGAUUGGCAGCAUUUGCAGAAUCUCUUGUGUUUAUUCAUUUCCAUAAAUGCUGCCUGACCUGCUGAGUUCCUCCAGCAUUUUGUGUGUGUUGCUUUGAAUUUCCAGCAACUGCCAACAUUCUCUUAUUUAUAAAUAUCUGAUUAUUUCUCCUUGUUGGCAUUGACUGUAGUGAAAUUUGCAUUUCACAACGCUGAAAUACUACUUACCAGAAUGCCAAUGCUUAUGUGAAAGG